rnacentral:rRNA from 1 species
UACGAAGGGGGCGAGCGUUGUUCGGAUUUACUGGGCGUAAAGGGCGCGCCGGCGGCUCAUUUUGUCAGGCGUGAAAGCCCCGGGCUUAACCUGGGAACUGCGUUUGAUACGGAUGGGCUAGAGUUCGGGAGAGGAGCGUGGAAUUCCCAGUGUAGAGGUGAAAUUCGUAGAUAUUGGGAAGAACACCGGUGGCGAAGGCGGCGCUCUGGACCGAGACUGACGCUGAGGCGCGAAAGCGUGGGGAGCAAACAGG